GAUGAACGCUGGCGGCGUGCUUAACACAUGCAAGUCGAACGGUAAGGCCCUUCGGGGUACACGAGUGGCGAACGGGUGAGUAACACGUGGGUGAUCUGCCCUGCACUUCGGGAUAAGCCUGGGAAACUGGGUCUAAUACCGGAUAGGACUCCGGACUGCAUGGUCUGGGGUGGAAAGCUUUUGCGGUGUGGGAUGGGCCCGCGGCCUAUCAGCUUGUUGGUGGGGUGAUGGCCUACCAAGGCGACGACGGGUAGCCGGCCUGAGAGGGUGACCGGCCACCCUGGGACUGAGAUACGGCCCAGACUCCUACGGGAGGCAGCAGUGGGGAAUAUUGCACAAUGGGCGCAAGCCUGAUGCAGCGACGCCGCGUGAGGGAUGACGGCCUUCGGGUUGUAAACCUCUUUCAGCAUCGACGAAGCUUUUUUGGUUAAUAGCCAAACGGAGUGACGGUACUUUCAGAAGAAGCCCCGGCUAAC
rnacentral:rRNA from 1 species